AGGCUCCCAGUCCCACGGUCCCACCGGGCCACCUCCCGAGGUUCGGCUGUUCCCAAAUCCCAGUUCCCACUGUGGCACUGUGCCACUGUCUACAGUCCACUGAUCCCGAUUCCCCAAUCCCACUGAGGUGAGUAAGUAACUGUAGUAUGUGGUUACUUAGUUUAUUAAUUAUUUUUUGGUUUAAUUAAAUUAUAUGUAGUUAAGUAAUUAAUUUAAAAUUUGUUAUUUUUUGGUUCAAUUGUAGAUUGGUUGUGACUUCACUACUUCAGCGGUUUGGCACUAUUCGGCCUCUUCUCGCUGUCGAGUUCGGAACUAUUCCACCUCUUCUCGACACAAUUAAGUUCGACACUACUUGUCGGGACCCGAGUUUGUUUUUCUUGACACAAUUAAGUUUUAUCAUUUUUAACUUUUUAUAUUUUGAUUUGUUUGUGGUGGUUUUUUAAUUGCUUAGUUUGAUAAUAUUAUUUAUAGAUUAAAAUGUCUAAUAGAAAAUAUGACU
rnacentral:lncRNA from 1 species